AGUGAGGGCUGAUCCUUGGGAGGCUUCCAUGCCUAGAUUAGUGAAAUUCUUGAGGGGAGGAAGUCCUUUGGCGGUUGCUUGAGCCUUGGUGAAAGGGAGUCCUUACUUCCACCUUUGGUGGAAAGGCUGUCCUUCUUGAUGUUUGGUGGGAGCAGGAACCGAGAAGAGAGGGGAUGGGGAAAGAGAAAAGGAUUCCUCUGCAUCUUCUUAGCUUUCUUACCAAAAUAAAUAGCUUCUAGCUUUUCCUACUAGGGUUGAAAGGAUGGAAUGGAGGAGGUAGUGUAGCUAUGUGAAGUCUCUUUCACAUGUGAAAACUUGUACAACUUGUAUUGUAUUGUACUAUUAGCAUCCCCAUUCUUCAUUAGACAUUUGGAUGUAGAGUUAUUUGUAUGCACUCACUUUUCCUUUAUAAAAGUAUCACAAUUACUUUUA